GCAUUGAAAGUUCGCUAGGCCGGACAGAUCGUCGUGUUUGAGUUACGGUCUCGUCACAAUGGUGAUAAGUCAAAAGUCCAGAGGAAAGCAACUUCGUUAGAAUAUUUUUGCUAAAUGCUAAUUUAGAAAAUUUUAUUUUGUGUCUUAUAUACUGAUACUAGUUUUAUGAGUCUUUUAUUUAUCUCAUAAAUUUGUGAAUCUAGGUUUAUGUGGAUCCAAAAAUGUAAAAUUGAGGUCCACAAAUUUGUGAGACAAAAAGAAGUCUUAUGCAAUUAAUAUUUAAAUUGUAUGAAACACAACAUAAAACUUCUUGUCCAAUUUGCAUACUGUUUUUGGUUGCUUGAACAUAUUAAAUAUCUUAUUCAGCAGAGACAUAUACUUU
rnacentral:lncRNA from 1 species